rnacentral:rRNA from 1 species
UACGGAGGAUCCGAGCGUUAUCCGGAAUCAUUGGGUUUAAAGGGUCCGUAGGCGGUUUUGUAAGUCAGUGGUGAAAUCCGGCAGCUUAACUGUCGAACUGCCAUUGAUACUGCAGGACUUGAAUUAUUGUGAAGUAACUAGAAUAUGUAGUGUAGCGGUGAAAUGCUUAGAUAUUACAUGGAAUACCAAUUGCGAAGGCAGGUUACUAACAGUGGAUUGACGCUGAUGGACGAAAGCGUGGGGAGCGAACAGG